UGUUUUCGUACAACGUCCAGCAACAGCCGGAACGGUACUGCACAGUGGUAAUUCAAGUAAUUCAAUUCCAUACCAGGCGUUUGACAAAGUGAUAACGAACUUGACCGCAAAGUCGACGGGAUAAAAAAGCAACAAACACACGCGGAUGGCGCAUAUGUUGUCCCGUUCAGUCCAAUGAUACCAGUGUGUGUAAUCUAUACAUGGUCACAGUGGUAAUUAUUAUUAAUGGCUGCCGGAUAUUAUUAAUUCUAAAGAAGAAAUUGCUUUUCCACUUUAUUUGUAACAUCCAUGUUUAGUUGUUACAAAAAAUUUUGUUCGCUUGGUGGCGACGAACUCGUUUCAAUUACUUUGAGCAAAUGGACAACGCUUUUCAGUAGUUGGUACAUCAAUUUUUAUUCUGCAGUUUGACUAGAGAGAGAAAGAAAACGAGUCUCUGACAAUCAUCAGUUAUCCUUUUUACUGCCAAGGAUGCCAAAGAUUCCGUAAGUGUAUAUCAAAUGAUUGCGAUGGUCAACAUCAAUGAAUGGCCGCAGGGCCACUCGUUUGCAUGCAGACAUUCAAUAUCUUGUUACUUUUAUCGACGAACAAGUGACAGGAGAAAAUGCUUACAUUCUUGAGGAAAAGAAAGAGAAAAAAAUGUUGGACCUUUCAUUGGAAUCCACUUUCUCCAUUCUCCCUUUCUACAUUUCUUAAAUAUCCCUUGGCUGUGAAAUUAUCUCAUGUAAGCUAACGCCAGGUAGAGCUCACCCUUCAAAACCAUAGCAAUACCGUAUAUAGCCUUCAGGUAAAAGGAGGUGGAUGAAGAUGUUUGGCUACGAGUCCAACCGGAAUAGCUGCGCGAGCUUUCGAUUAUUGUGCAGUAUUUUAUUUUAAGUUUUUUACCACCUGAACUAUUUUCUCUUUCUUCUUUUUCUACACUCAAUUAUUCGUCGGCCACGGAAAGCCAAUGGCAGACAAGUGCCAGCGUUUUAGAUCAAUCCAUCUUGAACUUUUCUCUUUCUUGGUUUUUUUUUUGUCUGUCUUUUUGGCGUCUUUUGGUCUCUGUCAGUGUGGAGCAGAAACUUUUUGAGAGCCGGUUGAAAGCUGCCCGAUUGGAGCUACGAUACAUGUGUGGCAAAAGUAGUUUACUUUCCGGAGCUAUUGGAGAAAGAAAGAAAGGAAAGGUAAAGAAAAAAGAAGAAACUAAAAGGGUGAAAGGUAUUCAUCCCAUUAAUAUUCAUCAGUACAUCCUGUCUGUGCUGGAAUAUCCAACAUAAGAAAUUCGACCUAGAAAGCUAGCAUUAAAAAAAACAAAACAAAUAAAAUGAGAUCGUAUCUAAUACACUAUCAGUGGCUCAUGUCUCGCAGGGCUGGCUUUGUUGGAACAACAUUCUCCUUCGGCCAAACUGAUAUUCAAUUGCUUGACCAUCAAAAUGUGUUAAUUCAGGGGUGUUGCACGUGUUAUCGAGAAGAGAAAAAGAAGAAGAAGCGAGGGUCAAGGCGAAAAAGUAGACCUCUUUGUCUCUCUGCGUUGAAAGAGGACUGGCAUUGUACCGGCGGUUGCUCACGGGCCCACUGGCUGAAUGUGGCACGGGCCAUCAUGUUGAAUGACCUACAUACCCGGUUUCCUCAAACCAAAGGGAGGAAAGAAAAACACAACAUGGUGGGGAGAAGCAGUAGCCAACAUCAAAGCGUUCAGGUAUUAAAACAUGGUCCAUCUAGGUCCUUUCCCUCUUUCUCCUUUUUGUCUGAUAUAUCAUCAUAAAAACCAUCGAAGAAUGAAGGAAAAGCAGGGAAAGAAAUGAUGGACGUCCAAUGGUGAUACCACCGGUUCUCGUUUUUCCCGUUCUUCCUUCUGUCGUAGAGCCUUUCUUGUUGUCAAUACAUCGGUCAUCAGCUGAAUUGUCACCUUAAGUUUUCGUCACCUUUUUCUCUUUUGUGUCUCUUUCGUGUUUUCUUUAUUACGUUUCAUGAUCCAUCACAAUGCGAACGUUGAUUGCGAUAAGAUCCUAUCCAAGUUCUUUAUUUUUUUUCUCACAUAUGUUUUCUGGUUUUUUCUUUUUCAAAUUAUAAUCUUUAACAAUUGCAACGGCAAGAUCUCAGUGUUUUGGGAUUUAAUGACCUCCUGGAACUUUUCACGUAAAAAAAAAUGCAAUUCAGCAGAUUAGCUACUUUCUUUAUAAUUCCCAUCUCAGGAAAAUGAAAACGGGGUAGGAAAUUGAAAAGAAAAAUUAAAUCAUCGGAUUUUGAAACAAAAUAACUCGAUUUUGUCUCACGAGAAUCAAAACAGAACGACAAUGCUGUCUGAAAAAAACAACAAUACUUUGUCUGCUAUUAUGUAAUUUAAAAAACAAGUGACAGUACAGUACGAGCAGACGGUGGGAGAUGUAGCAAACCACCAGACCGGUCGAUUUCGUGAUUUUUCAGCAGCCAUAAGAAGCCGAUUCCCGCACGCCUCCCAUCAGGCGAAGUUUUGUCUUCCGUAUUCCGGCCUCAACUGGCCCCGUGUAGUGCCGGCUAUUUUCUCACGCGGAACCGUGAUGAUACGAGCAACUAGUUGGUGAACAAGUUGCUACUUACACACAUGCCGUUUUCCGGCACCACGACAAAUUCUUAUUAUUUUUGUGUUGUUGUUGCCUUUUUUUGAUUGAUAGCCUCAAGAAAAUACGCUGGAAAUCAUGGGCCGGUCACUCACCUCGACUAUACUUCACCUUUAUGAAAUAAAUGUAGCCUACAUCUUUGUAUUUUUAGCGUGAAAAAGAAGGAUUCCACAAUUUACGAAAAAUAAAUGCUGGAACUAAAA